CGCAGCCUGAUGCAGCAUGCCGCGUGUGUGAGAAGGCCUUCUGGGUUGUAAAGCACUUUUCAGUAGGAGGAAAGGUUGGAUGUUAAUAGCAUUCAGCUGUGACGUUACUUACAGAAGAAGCACCGGCUAACUCCGUGCCAGCAGCCGCGG
rnacentral:rRNA from 1 species